UGCAGUCGAACGAUGAUGCCCAGCUUGCUGGGCGGAUUAGUGGCGAACGGGUGAGUAACACGUGAGUAACCUGCCCUUGACUUCGGGAUAACUCCGGGAAACCGGGGCUAAUACCGGAUAUGAGCCGUCCUCGCAUGGGGGUGGUUGGAAAGUUUUUCGGUCAGGGAUGGGCUCGCGGCCUAUCAGCUUGUUGGUGGGGUGAUGGCCUACCAAGGCGACGACGGGUAGCCGGCCUGAGAGGGCGACCGGCCACACUGGGACUGAGACACGGCCCAGACUCCUACGGGAGGCAGCAGUGGGGAAUAUUGCACAAUGGGCGAAAGCCUGAUGCAGCGACGCCGCGUGAGGGAUGAAGGCCUUCGGGUUGUAAACCUCUUUCAGCAGGGAAGAAGCGCAAGUGACGGUACCUGCAGAAGAAGCGCCGGCUAACUACGUGCCAGCAGCCGCGGUAAUACGUAGGGCGCAAGCGUUGUCCGGAAUUAUUGGGCGUAAAGAGCUCGUAGGCGGUUUGUCGCGUCUGGUGUGAAAACUCGAGGCUCAACCUCGAGCUUGCAUCGGGUACGGGCAGACUAGAGUGCGGUAGGGGAGACUGGAAUUCCUGGUGUAGCGGUGGAAUGCGCAGAUAUCAGGAGGAACACCGAUGGCGAAGGCAGGUCUCUGGGCCGCAACUGACGCUGAGGAGCGAAAGCAU
rnacentral:rRNA from 1 species